CCUACGGGAGGCAGCAGUAGGGAAUCUUCCACAAUGGGCGAAAGCCUGAUGGAGCAACGCCGCGUGGGUGAAGAAGGUCUUCGGAUCGUAAAACCCUGUUGUUAGAGAAGAAAGUGCGUGAGAGUAACUGUUCACGUUUCGACGGUAUCUAACCAGAAAGCCACGGCUAACUACGUGCCAGCAGCCGCGGUAAUACGUAGGUGGCAAGCGUUAUCCGGAUUUAUGGGGCGUAAAGGGAACGCAGGCGGUCUUUUAAGUCUGAUGUGAAAGCCUUCGGCUUAACCGGAGUAGUGCAUUGGAAACUGGGAGACUUGAGUGCAGAAGAGGAGAGUGGAACUCCAUGGGUAGCGGUGAAAUGCGUAGAUAUAUGGAAGAACACCAGUGGCGAAAGCGGCUCUCUGGUCUGUAACUGACGCUGAGGUUCGAAAGCGUGGGUAGCAAACAGGAUUAGAUACCCCUGUAGUC
rnacentral:rRNA from 1 species